AGCUGGGGCGGGGCGGGGCGGGGCGGUCUCACCCCGCCGGGCGUCGCCGGGGGUUCCCGCCUCGCCUGCCGCCCGGGCGGGGGCGCCGCCGCGGCAGCCUGCGGCCCGUCCUUGCCCACCCGCCGGCCGGGGUGGUUCCAGCCUUCCGGGAGGAGGAGCCGCAGCGCUGGCGGCCUGCGCGGCGCGGGCCGCAGUGCUGGGGAGGCCGAGGUGAGGCGCCCGGCGCCCCCGCGGUGUUUGCUGCCUGCUCGCCGUUUCCCUGAGGACCUGCGGCUCGUCCCAUGCAGGCGCGGCUCCGGGGCCGCUGGAGCGCCUGUGUGCGCGCACGUCUCAGAGAAACCUAUUCAUGAUGUGUUUAGAAAGAGGGUUCGACGUUCAGGAAAAAGUAGAGAGCACGGUGCUUCAGUGAGGUUCUGGCCUGGGCAGAGCAAGAAGGAACUGUUUCACUUGCAGACAGGAUACCAGCAUGCUUCUUCACAGUGGACCUAACCCACAUUUGCAGGAAAUCAGUUGGAACGGCUGUUUCAAACAGGCAGCCUCAAGACAUACAACAGGAAGAACCGUUUCUCACCUCCAAAAUUCAUUCAUGGCUCGUAACAACUUAAUGCAUAUCACUGUGCUGACCUCUUACUCAAGCAUCAGGUGGCAGGUCAGGCUGAAGCUCUGCAGAUUCUGUCACUCAAAAUGAAGCUGCUUGCUACGAAAUGCUGAUGUUGUCCUUAAAGUUUAAUAGCAUCAGUAUGGCAUGUUAUCUUCUAUCAAGUAUAAUGUCUGGAUUGCAAAAUACACACGUUUUUUCCUUUUGUUGUGUGUGCACUUGAACAGCGUGUCUUCAAUCUUAUAUUUACUUAAUAUGUACAAAUGACCCUGACUACGCACAAAAUAUAACUUUUUCAAACAGUUUUACUUUUCACCCUUUAAAUAAAUUUUUGCUUUGUUUCCUUUA